rnacentral:rRNA from 1 species
UACGAAGAGGGCUAGCGUUGCUCGGAAUCACUGGGCGUAAAGGGUGCGUAGGCGGGUCUUUAAGUCAGGGGUGAAAUCCUGGAGCUCAACUCCAGAACUGCCUUUGAUACUGAAGAUCUUGAGUUCGGGAGAGGUGAGUGGAACUGCGAGUGUAGAGGUGAAAUUCGUAGAUAUUCGCAAGAACACCAGUGGCGAAGGCGGCUCACUGGCCCGGUACUGACGCUGAGGCACGAAAGCGUGGGGAGCAAACAGG